ensembl:snoRNA SNORD16 Small nucleolar RNA SNORD16
UGCUGUGAUGGUGUAAUUUGCGUCUGAACUUGUGAACAGUUGCCUGCUGUCUCUAAGCUGUCUUAGAGUAUAGAUGUGUGUUAAAUUCUGAGCA